rnacentral:rRNA from 1 species
CCUACGGGCGGCUGCAGUAAGGAAUAUUGGUCAAUGGACGAAAGUCUGAACCAGCCAUCCCGCGUGCAGGAUGAAAGCCCUAUGGGUUGUAAACUGCUUUUAGCAGAGAAGAAAAGCUUUCAUUAAUGAGAGUCUGACGGUAUCUGCAGAAUAAGCACCGGCUAACUCCGUGCCAGCAGCCGCGGUAAUACGGAGGGUGCGGGAAUUACUCGGGUUUAAGGGUGCGUAGGCGUGCGUAUAAGGCGGUGGUGAAAUCUUGUCGCUUAACGAUAAAAUUGCAAAUGAUACUGGUACUCUUGAAUUGGGUUGAGGUUAGCGGAAUGUGACAUGUAGCGGUGAAAUGCAUAGAUAUGUCAUGGAACACCAAUUGCGAAGGCAGCUAACUGGGCCUUGAUUGACGCUGAGGCACGAAAGCGUGGGUAGCGAACAGGAUUAGAUACCCCAGUAGUC